AGAUGGAAGCAUGUUCCUGCCAACCUUGGGAGCAGCUGCCUUAUCUGUGCUUGGCGAUCUUGGUCUGAGCAUCGGUCCUCUGAGAUUUGAUAAUGCAGUUUCUUGUCUUUAUCUAAUUGGUUUUGUCAAAAGGAAGAGGAAAUGUGAAAGGCAGAAGUAUUGGAGGACUACAGAGGAGGCUCUGUUUUCUGCCUGGAGGAUGCAAAUUCUGGCUGCUUUCAGCAUAAUGGUUUUAUUGUAGUGCCAGCUUGUGGACGUGUUGUCUUCCCCAGGCUUGUGCUGGAAAGAGCAGGAGCAGCCAGCUGAUGACUGCUGGUCAUCAUGGGGCAGCAGCAGUUUAUGGCUCUGCUCAUCCUGUAUGUGAGCUUAUUGGGGUACCCACAGGUUGGCACUGCUCAAAAGAGGCGGCGUGAAAAAGUGAGUGGCAAACUUUCAUUUCCUUCUGAGCUUCCUGCCCUGCCUUUCUCACAGGGUCACGGAGCACAGCAGUCUUGUGCCAUGUGUUCCAUAAUCUCUGAGAAUCUCUCUGGGAUGUUAUCGCUAGGGAGGAAAGAGUGGGAACUUAAGAAAGAAAAGGAUCGAGGCUGGGGAGAGUUCCCAGCAGGGCUGUCUUUCAUCUCGAGCAUCUGUUGCACACAGCAGCCACUGAGCCAGCUUGCUCAGUGUGUCUGCAGGGCCGGCAGUGGCUUGGUGCUUCCACUCCCCCUGGGACAGCAGCAGUGUGUUGUACCUAAGCUCCAUGGGAAGGUGAGCGUGGUGGUGAUCAGCACUGUGUGCAGUUCAGUUGUUUGCCGUAUCCGUAAAGCUGAAACAACUGUGGCACUUCUACAGCCUGGUUGUUUCAGGGAAGGCUUUCUGCAGUGGAAGGGCCACUGGCGUUUCAAAAUGAUUGCAGCUUUCGAAGCCCAGCCAAUUUCUGCUGCCUUGCUUUUUUUCUCUAGAGACCUGAUUAAUGCUGGAAGUCUGAAACUCCAAGAACUGCUAGCAUUUAGAAGCCAACUUGCAGCUCCCUCUGUGAAAGAGGACCUUUGUGUUUGGCAAGAGGGCAGGUGGGCAGCUUGUAACCAGGACAGGCAGUCUUCCAGGCGUGAAGGUGCUUUCUCUGUCAUGUCUCGUCAGUUAUCCCUGUUGGAGAGUGGAGACUUGUCUCUGCGCGGUGCUUUGCUCUCAGGAGCUCUUCCUCUGCAGAGUCUGAGCUCCCACGUCCUCCUGCUCUCCCUCCCAGCAGCCCAGCGAGGAAUGCAGGGGAUAACCAGAGCAAGGAUUGCUGGCUGUUGGAGGCCGAAGCUUUAAAUAUAGAGGAAGAAGAGAGCUGUGGCUGAUUCUUAAUGCUCGAGAGGACAACAAAAAUCCCUGAAUAAUUCAGCGAGGCAGUGGGGCCGCGCCGUGCAGCGGGGUCAGAGGGUAUCUUUUAACUGAAGUGCCUGUAAUAGCCUGGAGUUUGUUGGAGUGUGCUAUGGUGGGUGUAUAAUAUCCUGGAGAAGAAAGCUGAGGCUGAUCGAAUCAUCCAUGAAAACCCAGACCCUUGCAAUGGCUUUGUUCUAGUUCCA